ensembl:lncRNA TUSC7 tumor suppressor candidate 7
AUGACGCCCUAGAUUGUUCUGUUACACAAGGGGUACCAAAGUCCACUCUGAGCUUUUCCUCUGGGAACAGAUCCCAGAUUAUUCCAGACUUAAGACAUGGAGAUAUAUCUUGCUAGAGCCCCCAGUAUAUAUUCAGUGUGUCCUCUGAAGUAACAACCAUCCCAUCUGGCUGAGAAGUGAUGGACACGGCUCCUUAACCACACUGUACCCUCUGUUCUUGGCACCUCUCUACCAGAAAGAUAUCAACAAAUUGGAUGGAAUUCAGAGAACAGUAAGAAAAAUGAUUAAAGAGAUGGAGGCAGUGACUUAUGAGGAAAGAUGAAAAGGACUAAAUCUAUGUAGCUUGGCAAAGCAACAACUGAGGUGGCGUAUGAAAACUGUCUACAAGCAUUUGAAGAAUAUAAACACCAAGGGAAGAGAGGGAACUUUUUAGAAUGGUCUGGGGAAUAAGCAGAGUAAGAGGACAGAAUUGAAGAAAGGAGAGAGAUAUGCUAAGUUGGGGGUGGGGGCGUUUUCUCAUCAAUUGUAAAUUUUGAUAAAUAACAAAAUUAAGUCUGGAGAGAAAGAGUUGCAUCUCAUGCUUUUAGGUUACAAUCAGUGUUGACCUGCACUGAGAAAAUGUGACUUCCUAUUAUCCUUCUCAAAGUUAUUGCUGCAGAGGAAAGAAGCAUACAUCUUUUACCCACCAGGAAACCCCCAAAGCAUCUAUUACCAUAAUAGCCAUGGGAAACAGAAGGCACCUCAAAUAAAGGUGGGGAAAAGAAUGAAAGAAAUGGCUUUGGCCUGUGCCUGUUUGACCUCUGAGAGAUACUUUUUGCAAGAAAUUGUUAAGUUUUGGCCCAAAAAGUGGUCGGUCUUUUAUCCUUCCUUGUG